rnacentral:lncRNA from 1 species
GCUGCUCGCCGGGAACCCUCUCAUGAUGUGCAGAUGGAAGAUGGGAGAUAAGAAAGCAAAUGCAGAGCAGAGAGGUAUGAACACAUACUGUCUGCCCACACACACACACACACACGCACACAUGCACCAUGCCAGUGCCAGGGCUCCUUUCUCUUUCAUGUGUUAUCAGGCAAAGAUUUGGUUGUUUGUUAAUUUCCCCUGUCACCAUCUCAGCAGAGCAUACUGAAUAGUCAUUUCCACGCCAAGCCAGGAAUGUAGCCAUGUCACCGGGGAGUUUCCCCAUGCUUUACUGAUAAGCUCAAUGAAGCUUGCCUUGUCUUGCAUUUGGAAAACAUCUGUUGAAUUCUUUGGCCAUAAUGCAACCUGCGUAUGCUUCAGUCAGUAUGCAGCAGAUACCUGCACACAUGUCAGCACAGAAGUACAAAGGCUGGACGUGAACAUAAGGGCAUCUGAUGCAAUGCAUUAUGCAAUUUAAUAACAGCCCCCAGCUACAAUAAACACAGUAUGUCUCUGCAGGUAUUUCAGUAAGCACGAGAAGGGGAAAUUAAAAUGAUUUCAGGAGCAGGUACGUUAUAAUACCGGCCUUUAGAGACUAUUAGGAUAAAUCUAUUCCUUUCUGUUUGAAUAAAACUCUGCUUUCAUUACUUUGCACCAGGGUGUGCAGAGACCAUUUUUAGGGCCUAAGCACACAAAGCAGUGCAAGAGAUCUAAGAGCAAGAGAACCCUCAGGAUUAUGUUUUCUGUUUUACUUUCAUAUUUGGAGGAGUUAUCAUGCCUCAAAACUCAUCAAAAUUCACACACACACCUCAGUCCUGACUUUUUAUGAAUUUUGCAAAUUUACCGGUUUAUAGUGCCUUGUAUAUCCUCUUAUGAGUCCAACCCACACAACUUGGGGGAUUGACAGGCUGCACAUUUACCGAACUCUGCCUUUUAUCUGAGACACAAUUAAGGAUUUCGAGUUUCUGUUAAAGGUGUGGCUGUUGUCGCUUAUCAUGAAACAGGAAGUCAUUGUUGCUCAGUCAUGUGACCUAUAAUCUCUUCAAAAUUUCAUAUCCGUGUUCCCUGAAUACAUUGAUAUAGUUAGUUUUCAACUACGGUUGCAGCGCCAUCAUAUGACAAUAUAGUACUUUCUUUAACACACAUGGCCUGAUCUGCUAAGGGUUUGCAUGUUCAAAAACAGCACACGCAAUGAAUUUAGCAUGUUUGCCUUCAUGAAUAUGCAGAAUGUAUGCAGAUUACCAGAACGCAGAAAAUACUGAAAUGCAAAUUUCUUAUAUUUUUUGUAUUUCUUAUAUUUAAUUUUAUAUUACAAAUAAAAAUAUAUAUUAAAAUAUAAAAUAAAUAUAAAAAUAAAAUAUUAACAUAUAUAUAUUUCCCCUCCUUGAGCCACCACCUUACCGCGGUGAAGGGGUUUGUGUGUCCCAGUGACCCCAGGAGCUAAGUUGUCGGAGGCUUUAUGUCCCUGGUAGGGUCACCCAUGGCAAACAGGUCCUGAGAGAGGGAUCAGACCAAGAGUGGCUCAAAUAAACUUUUUAUGAUGUAUCCAAUAUUGUGUACUGAUUUUUUACUUGUUCAGAUGUGGGUAACAAUACAAAAACAAUUGUGAAAUCAAAUAUAUUUCAUGGAUCAGAAGCAUUUCUGAAAAAAUAAAAUAAAAAUUUUUUUGGGCUACCUUAAUUUUACUCUUAAAAAUCCUGAGGUACUUUCAGAUUCACCAAACCAUUAGGGCUUUUGAUAGUGCUAAAUAUUUCAUUUAUUAAUACAAAGUGGUCAUACACACUUUAGGAUUAGGUUAAAAAUACAACAAGGAGGAGAAGACCUGCCUUUACUCUCACUCAAUGGCACAAACACUGAGUCCAAAUACUGGGAUUGCUCAAAUUUAUGUGACAUUAAGUUAAAUAAUAUACAGUCCACUAGGCCUGUCGUGAUAAUCAAUAAAUCGCCUUAUCGCUCGAUAAAUAAAAACGAGGUCGAUAACUUUGCCAGCCUCGAUAAUUGACGUGCGUUUGUUUUCCUCCUCUCUCGCUACCAAACACGCUGGAUGAGAGAAGAGGUCUCACUCUGCGCAUUGUUCUCGGCACCUGGGGGCGUUGGCUCUUUAGCGGAAUGAACGGAGUUAGUGAACCCUCCUGUCAGUCAUUCAGUGUCUUUGUCACGAGGGGGCUGGCGCGCACAGGCACGCAGACACAGACUUUUUGGAUACAGUGCUGCAAGUGAGCGUCGUGAGUGAAAAGCAAGCUAACAGAAUGAACACGACAGCUUUGGUGUCUAAACCGAACGCAACAGCCCAAGUGUGGGAAUAUUUCGGCUUUAAACCAGUUUUGUUUUCGUCAACCACAAAACUCCACGUGUGUGUGUGUGUGUGCACGCGCGCGCGCGCGUGUGUCUGUGUGUUGGAGGAGCACAGCAGGCUGAUGAGAGCUGUCAGAGCGGACUGAAGCUGCUCUUAUAUGUUUAGCGUUUAACUGACUGAGUUUUGCAACUCUGUUCGUCAUUUUCGUCUCGUCCCAUCAACGUAAACGCACUUUCGUCUCGACACAUUUUAGUCAUCUCCGACUUAUGUUUAGCUCGUCAACGUUACGUCUUCGUCGUGGGAGAAAAGGGAAAUAUUUUAGUCAACGAAAACAACCAGUGUUGUUCUCGUGUGGAAAUUAAAGUUUAUCACUUUUGACAUGGUGUACUCGCAUUAUUAUGCCAUAUAAUAUCAUUAUCUAUAAUUUAAAAAAUGGUGUCAAUAAUAUCGUUUAUCGGCGAUAAUUUGUAGCACAAUUAUCGUCCAGCAAAAUUUGUUAUCGUGACAGGCCUACAGUCCACCUUCAAAUAGAAAACGUAUUUUGCUUGUUCAUAAUGUAAAACAGUGUCUUUAUAUUUAAACGACUGUAAUUUUGUUCCAGGCUCAUGCUGAUUCUUGGAAAACCUUUAACGGCUGCAGGGAGAUGACCUCAGCCGGGUGAAGCCUCCUGGGUUUUGUCACAGCUGACUGAAAGGAAAAGUCUAUUGUAUUUAUAAAGUGAAGCAUGCAGGCCAGUGAUGAG